UACGGAGGGUGCAAGCGUUGUUCGGAUUUAUUGGGCGUAAAGCGCGUGUAGGCGGUUUCUUAAGUCUGAUGUGAAAGCCCCGGGCUCAACCCGGGAAGUGCAUUGGAUACUGGGAGACUUGAAUACGGGAGAGGGUAGUGGAAUUCCUAGUGUAGGAGUGAAAUCCGUAGAUAUUAGGAGGAACACCGGUGGCGAAGGCGGCUACCUGGACCGAUAUUGACGCUGAGACGCGAAAGCGUGGGGAGCAAACAGU
rnacentral:rRNA from 1 species